CGAAUACUUUGGUGGCGACCGGCGCACGGUGCGUAACGCGUAUGCAACCUACCUUUAACAGGGGGAUAACACUGAGAAAUUGGUACUAAUUCCCCAUAACAUUCGAGAAGGCAUCUUCUUGGGUUAAAAACUCCGGUGGUUAAAGAUGGGCAUGCGUUGUAUUAGCUAGUUGGUGAGGUAACGGCUCACCAAGGCAACGAUACAUAGGGGGACUGAGAGGUUAACCCCCCACAUUGGUACUGAGACACGGACCAA
rnacentral:rRNA from 1 species